UACGUAGGGUGCAAGCGUUGUUCGGAUUUACUGGGCGUAAAGGGCGCGUAGGCGGCCAGCACAAGUCAGUUGUGAAAUCUCCGAGCUUAACUCGGAAAGGUCAACUGAUACUGUGCGGCUAGAGUGCGGAAGGGGCAACUGGAAUUCUUGGUGUAGCGGUGAAAUGCGUAGAUAUCAAGAGGAACACCUGCGGCGAAGGCGGGUUGCUGGGCCGACACUGACGCUGAGGCGCGAAAGCCAGGGGAGCGAACGGG
rnacentral:rRNA from 1 species